rnacentral:rRNA from 1 species
UACGUAGGGGGCACGCGUUGUUCGGAAUCAUUGGGCGUAAAGGGCGUGUAGGCGGUAUGUUAAGUCCGCUGUGAAAGUCGGGGGCUCAACCCUCGAAUGCCGGUGGAUACUGUCGGGCUAGAGUGCGGAAGAGGCGAGUGGAAUUCCUGGUGUAGCGGUGAAAUGCGCAGAUAUCAGGAGGAACACCAAUUGCGAAGGCAGCUCGCUGGGACGUUACUGACGCUGAGACGCGAAAGCGUGGGGAGCAAACAGG